rnacentral:tRNA from 3 species
CGGGACGUGGCGCAGUUUGGUAGCGCACUUGACUGGGGGUCAAGGGGUCGUGGGUUCAAAUCCCGCCGUCCCGACAA